CCUACGGGUGGCAGCAGUGAGGAAUAUUGGUCAAUGGCCAGAAGGCUGAACCAGCCAAGCCGCGUGAGGGAGGAAGGCGCAGAGCGUCGCAGACCUCUUUUGCCGGGGGACAAAAGGCCGGACUCGUCCGGUCCUGAGGGUACCCGGAGAAAAAGCAUCGGCUAACUCCGUGCCAGCAGCCGCGGUAAUACGGAGGAUGCGAGCGUUAUCCGGAUUCAUUGGGUUUAAAGGGUGCGCAGGGGGGCCUUUAAGCCGGCGGUGAAAUCGCGGGGCUCAACCCCGCCGGGCAGUCGGAACUGGGGGCCUUGAGGGCGGCGGAGGGAUGCGGAAUGCGAGGUGUAGCGGUGAAAUGCAUAGAUAUGGGGAAGAACCCCGAUGGCGAAGGCAGCGUGCCGGGCCGCCACUGACGCUGAGGCACGAAAGCGCGGGGAUCGAACAGGAUUAGAUACCCUGGUAGUC
rnacentral:rRNA from 1 species